GGGCGUGCGUCAAAAAAUUUUGAGAAAGAAAGUGGGGCGUGAGGAAGCCUUGUGCAUAAGGUGAAGGUCCAAAACCUUUCGAGAGAAAAAGAAAGAAAAUUGGGUGCAAGGUUUUUGGUGUGUACCCUAGGGUUUCUACCUAGGGAUCGGGAAGUGAGAUUUGUGUGCCACGAGUAUCGUGAGUCCACCAAAUUUCAAAAAA
rnacentral:lncRNA from 1 species